rnacentral:rRNA from 1 species
UACGGAGGGUGCAAGCGUUAAUCGGAAUUACUGGGCGUAAAGGGUGCGUAGGCGGUUGUUUAAGUCUGUUGUGAAAUCCCCGGGCUCAACCUGGGAAUGGCAAUGGAUACUGGGCAGCUAGAGUGUGUCAGAGGAUGGUGGAAUUCCCGGUGUAGCGGUGAAAUGCGUAGAGAUCGGGAGGAACAUCAGUGGCGAAGGCGGCCAUCUGGGACAACACUGACGCUGAAGCACGAAAGCGUGGGGAGCAAACAGGG